UUUGCUUGUUUUUUGUUAAGCUGCCCUUUUAGGUCAGAAGAUAGAUGAGGUGAGAUCUUCAGAGCCAAUAUUGUUUUUCACAUAUAUGUUCUAAGCAAACAACUAAAAGAAGGGCAUACUAUGGUUGACAAAUGAUUCCAUGGCCUAUUUGUAGAUUCGUGGUGGUGUUGUACACAAAUUCAGGUCGCUGUGCAUAUGUAGCAAAGUGUUCAGUCAAACACGUCUACCAUUCUUGUUUGUCCUGGAACCAUUUAUAAAUGUGUGCUCAAGCUAUAGUAUAUAUGUUUUUUCGAUUCAUUGCUGCCAUUUAUCUUCUCAUAUAAGUUUGGUGUGCCUAAUAUACUGUCACACAAUGAGAAAUGUUGAAUCCUUGGAAGAAAGGUAGCAUAAUAUAUUAUUUUUUGUCUUCCACAG
rnacentral:lncRNA from 1 species